GUGGCAAGCGUUGUCCGGAUUUAUUGGGCGUAAAGGGAGCGUAGGCGGACGCUUAAGUCAGUUGUGAAAGUUUGCGGCUCAACCGUAAAAUUGCAGUUGAUACUGGGUGUCUUGAGUGCAGCAGAGGUAGGCGGAAUUCGUGGUGUAGCGGUGAAAUGCUUAGAUAUCACGAAGAACUCCGAUUGCGAAGGCAGCUUACUGGACUGUAACUGACGCUGAUGCUCGAAAGUGUGGGUAUCAAACA
rnacentral:rRNA from 1 species